CUUGUAAGAACUACCUACAAAACGACGGACAACCACAAAAGUGAACAUCGGGUCCUCAUGGAUUUUUAAUCCAGGCCCGCCACAAAAAGGUGCAAAAAGAAAAAGAAAAAAAAAAAAGAAACUGAAUUAACCAUAUGGUUUCCCUUGGACUUUGCCCUUGACUAAUGAAAAAAUUGUCAUCAUUCCCAUGUGGACUGUAUUUUUGUUGUUAUUUGUUGCCUAGUGACUUGUAAGGAAAGUAAUCUGUGUUAUAAACUAGGUUAUAAAAGUAAUAAAAUAUUAUUUUGAAGUGAGUUCCGGACACUUUUUAACUAAAGCCUAUAGAAGUUAAAUCGAUUCAGCUGAGCAAAUACGUAGUAAACAAAACUACUGCAAUGGCUGGAUCGUCUACCAUCAAUUUUUUAAAAUCAUUAUACUAUGAUCCUUUCAAAUGGAACCUCGUCAAGAGUUUUGGAUUCCUUAUACUUGGAGUGGGAAUAGCAAGAGAAUUCAAAGGUGUAGAUGUUAUGCCACCUAUAACAAUGUAAAAAUACUAGAAAUAAAUAGAGCACACUUUAAGUCACUGUUUAAACCAUUUGUGUAAGGGGUUUUCAAAUGAAAUCUUUUUUAAGAGUUAAAAUAUUCAUUACAAAAAUAAAUGUAAUAUAUGCUUUUUGGAAAACAUUCAUUAUGCGUUAAUGAAAGCAAAGCAAGUUAGAAUGUAUUAGACGUUUGUGUGUAACUAUUCUCAAAAUUUUGUUUCAUAACUAAAUGUUAAUAAACGGCUUAAUAAGUCUUUGUUAAAUAUUUA